UACAGAGGGGGCUAGCGUUGUUCGGAAUUAUUGGGCGUAAAGGGCGCGUAGGCGGUGCGGUAAGUCUGUAGUGAAAUCUCUGGGCUCAACUCAGAGUCUGCUGCAGAAACUGCCGUGCUUUGAGUGUGGGAGAGGUGAGUGGAAUUCCUGGUGUAGCGGUGAAAUGCGCAGAUAUCAGGAGGAACACCGAUGGCGAAGGCAGUGGGCUGGGCCGGCACUGACGCUGAGGAGCGAAAGCGUGGGGAGCGAACAGG
rnacentral:rRNA from 1 species